CAUUCAAACUCUGCUUGGUUCAAUGAGAAUAAACAGGAUAGGGCAUAAACCAGGAGCUGAUUUCUAAGCAUCUUCUGAAAUAAUCAUCUGAAAUAACUAUUUUCACUAUGGAAAAUAAUCUUACAUGUCUGAUUACUGUUACAGCUAUUGCAGAAGAAUCCGAAGGAAGAAAUGAAGAAAUCCCUUGAAAUUCACCACGGAGAUUUUGAUUCUAUGCAGAGAAAAUGAAUUAAGCUUCAUUUCGUGGUUACUACUUCAGGUUGUUCUGCAUUUGCAUCUUGCAGUAACCUGAAGGUGCUUUCUUACACCUUUCCACACUUUUUGUCUUCUGAUGGACCUGAGCAAUCAAAAAGGAGGUUGAAGCUGGGUUUAUUUAAUGCAUAAUAUUCUUGUUAAUGACAGUCUCAUCUAUAGAAGCAAAGAAUAUUCUCAAAUAAUGGAAAGGAACAUCUUUUUUAUGUUAAUCAAAGGAGUGGAAAAAAGAAUAGGAAAUUGAUGUGCUUUGCACAUACCAGCCAGGAGGAAGAGUUUACAGGCAAGUGGGAAUUCAUACACUCUUCUCUUUCUGAUACAAGAGCUUUAAUGUUUUGUGGCAGUGAAAGGACCUGGAAUUUGUUCUUUCUACUCCCAAAAAUGGCAUGUUAGGAGGGCUGCACUUGUCUUGGUUUACAUGGGAUUUACGCAACAUUAAUAAUGGAGUUU